ACUAACUGCUGCUCAACCUAAUUUGCCUGUUGCUGUAAUUUCACAUAGAACAAUCACAGCUUCAGGCAAGUAAGGUUGAGCAGCGGUUUGUCAGAUAA